UACGAAGGGGGCUAGCGUUGCUCGGAAUCACUGGGCGUAAAGCGCACGUAGGCGGAUUGUUAAGUCAGGGGUGAAAUCCUGGAGCUCAACUCCAGAACUGCCUUUGAUACUGGCGAUCUUGAGUCCGGGAGAGGUGAGUGGAACUGCGAGUGUAGAGGUGAAAUUCGUAGAUAUCAAGCAGAACACCUGUGGCGAAGGCGGCCUUCUGGACGAUGACUGACGCUGAGACGCGAAAGCGUGGGGAGCAAACAGG
rnacentral:rRNA from 1 species